rnacentral:rRNA from 1 species
GACGAACGCUGGCGGCGUGCUUAACACAUGCAAGUCGAACGGAAAGGCCCUGCUUUUGUGGGGUGCUCGAGUGGCGAACGGGUGAGUAACACGUGAGUAACCUGCCCUUGACUUUGGGAUAACUUCAGGAAACUGGGUCUAAUACCGGAUAGGAGCUCCUGCUGCAUGGUGGGGGUUGGAAGGUUUCGGCGGUUGGGGAUGGACUCGCGGCUUAUCAGCUUGUUGGUGGGGUAGUGGCUUACCAAGGCUUUGACGGGUAGCCGGCCUGAGAGGGUGACCGGCCACAUUGGGACUGAGAUACGGCCCAGACUCCUACGGGAGGCAGCAGUGGGGAAUAUUGCACAAUGGGCGGAAGCCUGAUGCAGCAACGCCGCGUGCGGGAUGACGGCCUUCGGGUUGUAAACCGCUUUCGCCUGUGACGAAGCGUGAGUGACGGUAAUGGGUAAAGAAGCACCGGCUAACUACGUG